AAUCUUGCGCAAUGGGCGAAAGCCUGACGCAGCCAUGCCGCGUGAAUGAUGAAGGUCUUAGGAUUUUAAAAUUCUUUCACCUGGGACGAUAAUGACGGUACCCGGCGAAGAAGCCCCGGCUAAUUUCGUUCCAGCAGCCGCGGUAAUACGAAGGGGGCUAGCGUUGCUCGGAAUUACUGGGCGUAAAGGGCGCGUAGGCGGUUCGUUAAGUCAGAGGUGAAAUCCCAGGGCUCAACCAUGGAACUGCCUUUGAUACUGGCGAUCUUGAGUAUGAGAGAAGUAUGUGGAACUCCGAGUGUAGAGGUGAAAUUCGUAGAUAUUAGGAAGAACACCAGUGGCGAAGGCGACAUACUGGCUCAUUACUGACGCUGAGGCGCGAAAGCGUGGGGAGCAAACA
rnacentral:rRNA from 1 species